rnacentral:rRNA from 1 species
UACGAAGGGGGCUAGCGUUGCUCGGAAUCACUGGGCGUAAAGCGCACGUAGGCGGCUUUCUACGUCAGGGGUGAAAUCCUGGAGCUCAACUCCAGAACUGCCUUUGAUACUGGAGAGCUUGAGUCCGGAAGAGGUGAGUGGAACUCCGAGUGUAGAGGUGAAAUUCGUAGAUAUUCGGAAGAACACCAGUGGCGAAGGCGGCUCACUGGUCCGGUACUGACGCUGAUGUGCGAAAGCGUGGGGAGCAAACAGG